AUGAAAAGCAUCCCAUUGCAUUGUGAAAUUACCGAUGUCAAUCGAGUUCUCUCCUUUCCCCCUUUCUUAAAAUGUCCUCGUGUACGCCCAUGUGAAUAUGGGUGUAUUCACGAGGACACCCUUUUUACCCUAUCCCGUACGUCUGGUGGUAAUUUGAUAUUGGAGAAAAAAUCAACGUCUGUCUGAAUUACGGAUCUCUUCAUCCCUUUCUUCCUAUCCUGCUGCCUGAUGGAUUCAACUUUUCAGCGGAUGGAUGGAGCAACUGUGGAUGCCUGGCUGUAUUAUCCCAGGCAUAAAGGCUUGCACACGGAGCGGAAUGUGAGGAUCCAUGCGAGGACAACCCACCGGGCGUACUGGUCAACAAUAUCCGGACCCUUUCGUCCGAAAAGAAAAUAAACAUUUAGUAAAUCUUGUUUCAGAGACAUGAUGAAGAUGGUGGUGGUUUUAGCUGUGCCAGGCGUCGUCAUCUGCAGAGUGAACAAGCGAUGCAGCGCCGUGUUGGUGAAGAAUCCGAGCAUAAUCAUCCAGUUAAACGAGCGCGUGUAGCGGGCGAAAUAGGCGCUUAAAGCCUCAAAGUGUCUGUCAGGAAAAGAGAAAAAGGGCUACACAUGAGAACUCAUAUAAUUGAAAUCGGUAUGUGGACAAAUUUGGAAUUAACUUUUUGUUGUCCUUUUCUAAACCGAAAUUGUAGAGUGCUGUUAACGAGAAGUAAACGACAAGGAAAACCAGUGAAUGCCUCCAAAUCAUCUUGUAGAGACUUCUCUUCCAUCUUUUACCAUUUGGAAUGGAAA